GAUGAACGCUAGCGGCAGGCUUAACACAUGCAAGUCGAGGGGCAGCAUAAAUAGUAGCAAUACUAUUGGUGGCGACCGGCGGACGGGUGCGUAACGCGUAUACAACCUCCCCUAAACAGGGGGAUAAUCUGGAGAAAUUCGGUCUAAUACCCCAUAACAUCAGAGCAGGCAUCUGUUUUGGUUAAAAUUUCCGGAGGUUUAGGAUGGGUAUGCGUAGCAUUAGCUAGUUGGUGAGGUAACGGCUCACCAAGGCGACGAUGCUUAGGGGGACUGAGAGGUUAACCCGCCCCACUGGGACGGAGACACGGACCAGACUCCUACGGGAGGCAGCAGUGAGGAAUAUUUGUCAAUGGGCGGAAGCCUGAACCAGCCAUGCCGCGUGCAGGAUGACGGCUCUAUGAGUUGUAAACUGCUUUUGUACGAGGGUAAAGUGGGCUACGUGUAGCCUUUUGAAAGUAUCGUACGAAUAAGGAUCGGUUAGCUCCGUGCCAGCCGCCGCCGUAA
rnacentral:rRNA from 1 species